CUUACCUCGGAUGUGGUCGAACGAUUUCGGCGGCUAUUCGAUCACUUUUUCCUUUCCCUUAUCCAACUGUGGUCCUCUAAGCUCUUGAGCUAAUUCAAACAAAUUUAACUUAUUAAAGGCUCAUUAUGCUAGCUUAUGGCCGAAUAUGACAAGGAGUUUGAUAGGUCAUAUGGCCACCUUUAGCUCAAAUACAAAAUGGUCAUACG
rnacentral:lncRNA from 1 species